GUAUUUUUUCCAAGUGGCGCAUUUAAGCUGAAUCGAAAGUACAGCUGUGUUUCUUGGAAAUCGACUUCAAACGAGACUCUCAUUAUUUCACUGUUACUCACCAACUCGAGACGACAAGUGUUGUGGAUUACAAACUGUCGAUAUGAGUAAAAGACAAGCUUCGUCAUCCAUAAAGCAGAAGCAAGUCACUCAGGCUGCUUUGAUGAGGAAAGUCCAGCGUGACCCCUGCAGAUAUCGAGUUGGAGCCACAAGUGACAUGUCUUCAAGAAUGUCUGGCUACAAGCAUGAUGGAUGCAAAGGGAAGACGGCUUACUAUGCGCCGUCCCAGAACCCUGGGAUGAAAGAGGAUAAGCUCCUCAGCAAACUCCCCGCCAAUCAUCCGCACAACGAUCACAAAUUGAGCAACUACAAUUGCCCUGGUGAAGGUUAUGUGUAUGCCAUCGACAUGAAGAAAUAGUUACAAAGAUGUAACCUGGGGCUUUCAACUCUUUGUCACCCUGACUGUGUGACAUUUGAAUCAUAGGAACUUUCUGUGACAUUCAGGCCUUGAAUGAGAUGUUUUCUUGUUGAAACAGAUGAGCAUUAGGGAUCGAAAAAGUGAUGAAGAAACUGAUUUCAAUUGAAGAUGCAAGUGAGUCUUCGAAAAUGACACUUUAAAGAUGAUUUUGGACACUCAUGCCGGCCAAUACGGCGAUGUAUUAUAUUUGAUAGUAUUGAGUACUCUGUUAAUGUAUUUAUCAUAUUAUUGAUUAUGUUAAUUUGACAUUUCGCUUGAAACCAGAGAUGGAAAGAAAUAGGUACAAAAUUUAUUAAAAACUGCCCCAGUGA